rnacentral:rRNA from 1 species
AUAUUGGCUAGAGACCGAUAGCGAACAAGUACCGUGAGGGAAAGAUGAAAAGCACUUUGGAAAGAGAGUUAAACAGUACGUGAAAUUGUUGAAAGGGAAACGCUUGAAGUCAGUCGCGUUGGCCGAGACUCAGCCUGGCUUGCCUGGUGUACUUCUCGGUCGACGGGUCAGCAUCAGUUUUGACCGUCGGAUAAAGGUUGGAGGAAUGUGGCAUCUCUCGGGAUGUGUUAUAGCCUCUGAUUCGCAUACGGCGAUUGGGACUGAGGAACUCAGCACGCCUUUACGGUCGGGGUUCGCCCACGCAACGUGCUUAGGAUGCUGGCAUAAUGGCUUUAAGCGACCCGUCUUGAAACACGGACC